rnacentral:lncRNA from 1 species
CUAGUUCUUGGUGUUUAUACCACAUUUUUAAAGGUUAGCUUUAAGCCCAUCUUUAAGUCUCUUUUGCUGUCCACUGACAUUCUGUUUUCUAUUUUUGAGCUGAGAGUAAAUAACUGUUUUGGGAGACGGUGAUUGGACAUCUGGACUUUUGUGCCCACCAACUUCAGAGCCUGACUUGCCUCACCAUUAUGUAGGUCUGUUCCAAAUACAGGUGUCAUGCCAGUUUCCUUCUGCUUAUCAUGAAGGGCAGGUGGACUUUAUAGGUAGAGUGUCAUAGUCACUUCAAGCAACAUAUUUGGAAUGACAUAAAAGAGAUGUAAGCUGUUAGUUAUUUAAUUUGUUACUGUUGUAAUUUGAUGUCAUGAGAACUGAGAAGUGAUUGAGAGAUUUUCUGCUUCUUGGGUGAAAAAUAUUUAUUGUCAUGUUAUGUUUUAGAAGCAGCAAAAAUUGUUACUUUGGAUACCAUAAUGUUGGAGAUGUAGUUUACCAUUUUGACCUUUGCCUACCAGAACAUUGACCCAAAGGAAACAUAUUUAUCAAGUAUUCUUUUGCAUCCUGGAUGAAAAUCACAAGGUCCUUACAUGCUACGUAAGACUUCAUCACACAAUGUUUUCUCCAUGUUUCUACAUAUUUAAGAAAUGGCUACCAACAGAGCCCAUCACACAACACACAAUGUUUCAUAUUGAGGACAUAGAUUUCUCCAUUCCUAUUAUUUAACUAGUAUUUAGCCAUUUUUAAGCGUGUUUCCCCCCAACAAUUCAGAACUUGAUUGGCAAUCGACUUCAUUUUCAAUUACCCGUGUAGUUAUCGGCAAAAAGGGAAAUUUCACGUGUGCUAGGAUAUCCCCUUGUCUGCUUUUAAACAGUAUGAUGACAUCAUGCUGGAGGGAGGAGCCAAGAUGGGUAGUAUUGAUUCCUUUCUUUCACCAUUAUCAUUUUGUUACUGCAGAAGAAGGAACUGUAAUUUUUUUUUAUUUUGUUCUGUCCAUUUGGAUGGCACAGAACAGGAACACCCCCCCCCCCCGGAAUGAAAAUUAACUUGAUACAAAAGCAGGCGAGAGUGGGUACUGGCUCCAAGCCUGCUUUUUGGCAUCAUAGAGAGAAGAGAAGAGGGAGUAUGCUGAGGUCUCUUCAUCAGAGAUCCUUGAUGCAGGGCUGACGGCUUACCAGUUGUCGGGGCUUGCCCUCCACAGCUC